CAGUUCUCCAAGGUGUGACAAGAGGCAGGUAUCGCUUAGUCACGGCUAGGUGACAAGUCAGUGAUUGGUCAGCCCUCCACGACUUCUCCAUCCUCAACCACAGCUUGUCAUAUAAGCAGCGACUCAGUUUACUGAAUAUACAGACGAACCUGAAGGUUGAACGAUGACUCUGUUUUGGAAGAUCUUCGUCCUCCUGAUAGCGGUGGUCUUGGCCCAGGAGGACGGGUCCGGGGAGGACGGGUCCGGCACCCUUACAACUAGCGGUGACUCUAUCAAAGGUCAAGAGGCGGAGAUGAGUGGAGCCGGUCCAACUGAAAAUACUGAGAGGCUAGGGACUACAUCUGAGAUUGUGGGAGAUUACAGCUACGAGGACUUGUUAGAAAAUCCACAGGAGGAGAAUCCACAAGAGCAACCUGUAGUCUACGAUAACUAUGGGGACUUGAAUGGUGUUCCAUCCACAUCAGGUCCACUGUAGCAGUCUGCUUUCCAAGAAUUGUAUUUUUUGGCAUGACCUUGAAUGAGUGGAAACUGGAGACCAGGACCAAGGCAGAAGCCAUGUGAUGUUCCUUCAAACUAUCAACCUUUGAGACAUUGUCUCAGCUUCUACUACAGCAGUUAUAAUUAUUUUAUAUUAAAUCUGAAAAGAUGAUUGAAAUAUGUGAAUAUAUGUUUUCUGUCCUAUUCUUGCCAUCACUACAUUAAUGUACAUUAGAUUUCAUUUUCCUGUUGUAUAAAUUCUAUUUUCUGUAUCAAUCCAUUUAGAUUACAGUUCACAUAAAUACCUGCAACAUACAGAGAAAAAAUAACAUAAUAAACCCACUGACUAUGAGCA
rnacentral:lncRNA from 1 species